GGAGUUAAACGGGUCAUUUGACUUAUAUUGACUACCAAUAAACUGUUUAGAAUGGAAAUGAUCAAAGACUAUUAUAGCCUUCUUCAUUGACGUAUAUGUGUGUGAUUUUAGAUGUGGAAAUACCUUUAAGCUCUAAAGGGAAUUAGAAUGAGUCAUAUAAAGCUUUGAAUCAGCGGAUGUGUCGAUUUAUAUACAGUCAUACUCAGAAAAAAGACGGAAUAGUAAACAAACAUAAAAGUUCUUCAAAAACAUUCUUGCGAAAAAUAACUAUAUCUAUAUGCAGCUUUAAUAAAGGAAUCAAAACACCACGACAAUGGAAGUUUGUAAUAGCAUUUUGGAUGUCUGUUCUUUCGUGGAUCUUGCUCCGUGUCCACCUCCGGACAUCGAGGCCCACACGUUUUACGAGUAUUUGGCCGCAAGAAACUUGACCAUGCAGGUUGUGUUACACAUUGCGGUACAGUGUGGUAUAUCAGCUAUACCACCGAUUUUUACAGAUCGGACUACUUUGGACACCUUAUCUUCCACUGAGUUAUAUUGGACAACUCAAACCCAUUCGACAACGAGGCACACCUAUUCGACAAAUCAAACCGAUUCGACAACGAGGCAAACCGAUUAUGAGAGUAAUAAUGCAAGUUCUCUUUGGAACAAUCCAAUAUUCUUCAUUCCUGUGUGUACGGGAGUUUCAAUAGGGAUCAUCAUUAUCUUCAUCAUCGUUUAGAGAAAGAGCUGGUGUCAUAGAAGCAAUCUGGUACAGAUAAAACAAUAGCAUAUAUGCCAAAUUUAUGUUUUUAAAUUUAUUAAUUCGCAGACGAAUACUUAAAUUAGCUAUAUUUUCAAACAAAAAUUGUACUUAUGUUGCUGUAAAUAAUUAAAUAAAUGCCCAUGCAUAUUCAUCAUGCACAUUUAAAAAAAAAGGAACAAACGAAUGUUCCUACAAUGUUAAAAUCCUUAGUGUGCUUGGAACCAUGCUAUAUUUGGGCAGAGUGAGUGAGCCAAGAUUAUAAGUAUCUUUCAUGGCUGAGAGUGGAAGAUAGGUUCAUCACGACUCAAGCGUAGGGUGCUUUGCGGAAACGAGGUUUACCAGGUUUCCUCAAAACACCAGGCGCGAGGGUUGGGAUGAACCUAUCUUACACGAGCGGCUAUGGUAGAUGCUUUUUCCCUACCUCAGAUUAACAAAAUUAAGUAAAAAUCUAUUUCUUUCUGGAACUCUUGUGUGCGUAUUGAAAAAAAUGCGUAUGGAUAUGUGAUAAUUCGUGGUUGUCAUGGAUAUGAGCGCAGUGGUUCAGAUAAUGUCAGUAGUCAAAUCGGUCUUUAAAUAGUUCUGAGGAGAGUGAAGCUUUGUUUUUUGAAAUGUGCGUGGAAACUUUUUUAUGGUGCCAUUUGAAGCGAGAAGUUAUUAAUAAGGAUUCUUAAAAUUGCUUCUAGACAAGUCUUCAAUGAUUCUACGGAUGACGGUCUUCAACAAGGGAGGUUAUUGUGUGAUGACAAUAAAAAAGGAGUUCCAUACGGGUACUUAAAAAUUGUUUUAUCUUUGCCCGUGGGCAAGAUAAAAAAUUCUAGCAUGGUUAUAGUUUUGGAUCUACUUAUCUGAGGUGGGCGAUAAUGUCUUUACUAAGGUCAUGUCCGGGGGUCCUUUCUUCAGAAAGGAUCUUUGUCGUAAAGUGAAUUUAUGUUAGUGCCAUGUUUUUUCUAUAUAUUUGAGUGAACUAAAUUUCCGUUAUUAUUACAAUUAAAAGUAACGCGUGACAUCAAUAGUUACAACUUAAGAUCCUUUAAUGAAUGACUUUUCAUGUUGCAGCGCAUAUAUGAAGUAUCAAUAGCAAUGAGUUAUAUGGCAAAAAAUAAGUCAGUUGAUCGUAAAGAAGACAUUUUUAGCGGACGUGAAAGGCAAUGAACUCACUCACACUUUUCUAAGAAUCAAUGGUGAUAAGCAUAACAACAAGGUGAUUGUAAAGUAAAUAUUAAAGUGAAAAUAGAGAAAACCAAAAUGGAACUAUUAUGACCGAACAAAUCGAAUCUAACGAAACUCUUAAUUCUUAUUCUUAUAAAAUGCCAAUAGAAAGUACUUGGUUAUAACUCUAUGGGCCGAUUGUUUGGAACCUUAUUAAUGUUAACAGCCUCAUAAACGCCAUCGUUGUUAUCAUGGUUUUUUGAUUGGUGCGCAUGCGUGGCAAUGGCUGCAGGUUAUUUUGUAAAGGAAUUAAAAUAAUGUUUGAUAAUAUAAAUAAGGGGAAAAUAGUGGAUAUAUGUGUUAAAUCUUAGUUUAGUGAAGUGGUGAAGUCAUAGCUGAUAGUUUGUACUUAGACUGUGUACAUUUCGCCCAUGGGUAGGGCCAGAAAACGCAAGAAGAGUAAAGGGUCACCGCAAAACAAAGAGUCGGAAAAAAGGCGCGUAAAUAAAACGACACCAAAACAAAUGGCACAGGCCACCCCGACAGUGCUAAUGCAGAUCCAAGGUUCUUAUCAACAAGGUAUGAAUAUGCAAAUGAACAAUUAUAAUCAAAAUGGACAAUGUUUUAACACCAGCACCAAUGCCCUUUGGUGUUAGCCAGCAGUAUCCACCGGAAGUGAUGGAGGCCGGAAAGCUACUCGUCCCUACUAUGCUCAACGCGCGCCGUCAGGAUAAAGAGGCCUUCAUCAGCGGGAGCAGAUUAUUCAUAAAUGGUCAACUUUAUCGAGAUGCAGGGACCGGGACCGGAAACGGAAACCUCUAGGACGAAGGCCAUGAUGUCAUACGGUGUGUGACUUGGAAUGUUGAGGGACUUACGCAGCUGAAACAGGGAAAAAAAUCAAAUAUUUUAAGCAAAUAUUAUUUAAUAUUUUUAAGCUUAACCUGGACUAACAAAAAUUCUACAAUUGAUUUGAAAUGUUUUAAGCUGUUUCAUUCAUUUAGAAAGUUUCAAAAUAGAAGAGCAAAUCGAAAUAGUGGGGAAAUUGCGGUAUAUGUUCGUAAUACUAUAUUGAAAGGAAUUGAUAGACAAAAAGUUCAAUCUUGUAACUAUCUUGGUAUUGUUUUGUCAAGCGGAGGAUCAUUUAUGAACUCUACACAGCCAUUAGAAGAUAAAGGACUUAAGGCUUUGGGAAAUUCGUUUGGGAUUACUAGGGGGGAAGAAAUUCCUGUUAAAAUUAUGUUGGGUUUAUUCGACUCAUUUGUGUCAUCAAUGUUGUGCUAUUCCUGCGAAGUAUGGGGCUUUGGUAGAGCUGAAAAUAUGGAAAGGGUUCAUAGAAAAUUUCUGAAACGACUUCUUGGUCUGAAAAGAAGCACUAGUAACUUACUAGACAUGUACGAAUCGUAAAAUAUUUCCUAAAACUGUAUCAAUUUAAAAGAGACAAUUGCAUUUUAUACAAAACAUUGCAAAUCCUUCGAUACGAUGCAGAAAAUAAUGCAAAUUCAAACAAUUGAUGUUCAAAUGUACACACUAUAUUACAAAAUGCAGGAUUCAUGUAGCAUGGUUAUAUCCGGAGUCGAUAAUUGUUGAUUAUUUUAUUCCUAUUUUUAGGAAAAGAUUAAUCGACUCAUUUAUUGAGCAUUGAAAAAAUGAUAAAUACUCAUUAAGUUCACUUAUGUUACACAGCGAACUAAAAUCUACUAUUCAUAUGUCAUCGUAUAAGGAUAAAUUAUACAGCUAUAGAAUUAGGAUUAUUAUUGCUAGGUUAAGAUUGUCCUUUCAUAUGUUAAAUGUUGAGAGAGGCAGAUAUGUUAAUAUUGAAUGAAAUCAACGAAAAUGUGUUCUAUGUGUUCAUAAUGAUAUUGAAGACGAAUAUCACUUUGUGUAUAUUUGUCCGCAAUAUAAUGAUAUUAGGAAAAAAAUACACAAAUAAAUUUUACUAUACAAGACCAAGCAUGUUAAAAUUCAUUCAAUUAUUAAACUCGGGAAAUACUGCAUGUCUACGAAAACUAGCUUUGUAUUGCAAACAUGCUUUUAAGCUACGAUAUAAUGCUUUGAAUAAUAGUGCUUAACUAUGUUGCUUUUAACAUGUUGAAAUCAUUGAUAAUUUAUAUAUGUAUAUAAUAUGUAUAUGCACUCUCGCAUUUUUCAACUAUUGCCAUGCCAUGUGUUAAGUUAUUGUAAUAACGAUGAACUUUAUAUGUUCAAGUUAACAAUAAAUGUUCUGUU